UCGACGGAGCGCCUAUGAAGGAGAUUUCGGUCACGGAAUAGGUUGCUUAGUGGCGGACGGGUGAGUAACGCGUGAGGAACCUGCCUUUCAGAGGGGGACAACAGUUGGAAACGACUGCUAAUACCGCAUAACACAUAGGUGUCGCAUGGCAUUUAUGUCAAAGAUUUAUCGCUGAAAGAUGGCCUCGCGUCUGAUUAGCUAGUUGGUGAGGUAACGGCUCACCAAGGCGACGAUCAGUAGCCGGACUGAGAGGUUGGCCGGCCACAUUGGGACUGAGAUACGGCCCAGACUCCUACGGGAGGCAGCAGUGGGGAAUAUUGGGCAAUGGGCGCAAGCCUAACCCAGCAACGCCGCGUGAAGGAAGAAGGCUUUCGGGUUGUAAACUUCUUUUGGCAGGGAAGAGUAGAAGACGGUACCUGUCGAAUAAGCCACGGCUAACUACGUGCCAGCAGCCGCGGUAAUACGUAGGUGGCAAGCGUUGUCCGGAUUUACUGGGUGUAAAGGGCGUGUAGCCGGGUUGACAAGUCAGAUGUGAAAUCCUGCGGCUUAACCGCAGAACUGCAUUUGAAACUGUUGAUCUUGAGUACUGGAGAGGCAGACGGAAUUCCUAGUGUAGCGGUGAAAUGCGUAGAUAUUAGGAGGAACACCAGUGGCGAAGGCGGUCUGCUGGACAGCAACUGACGGUGAGGCGCGAAAGCGUGGGGAGCAAACAGGAUUAGAUACCCUGGUAGUCCACGCUGUAAACGAUGGAUACUAGGUGUGCGGGGACUGACCCCCUGCGUGCCGCAGCUAACGCAAUAAGUAUCCCACCUGGGGAGUACGUUCGCAAGGUUGAAACUCAAAGGAAUUGA
rnacentral:rRNA from 1 species